rnacentral:hammerhead_ribozyme from 1 species
UGCUGACGAGUCCCAAACAGGACGAAACAGCAGUCCA